rnacentral:tRNA from 1 species
AAAAUUUUAGUUUAAUGUAAAAUGGUCUACUUACAAUAGAUUGAUUAUUAUUAUAAGAUAAUAGAAUUUUU